rnacentral:rRNA from 1 species
UACAGAGGGGGCAAGCGUUGUCCGGAAUUAUUGGGCGUAAAGAGCUCGUAGGCGGUUUGUCGCGUCUGCCGUGAAAGUCCGGGGCUCAACUCCGGAUCUGCGGUGGGUACGGGCAGACUAGAGUGAUGUAGGGGAGACUGGAAUUCCUGGUGUAGCGGUGAAAUGCGCAGAUAUCAGGAGGAACACCGAUGGCGAAGGCAGGUCUCUGGGCAUUAACUGACGCUGAGGAGCGAAAGCAUGGGGAGCGAACAGG